UCUCCGUUGGUGAACCAGCGGAGGGAUCAUUACAGAGUUGCAAAACUCCCAAACCAUUGUGAACGUUACCUAUCCCAUUGCUUCGGCGGGCGGCCCGGGCCCCGCGCCCGGCGCCCCCCGGCCCCCCGUGGGCGCCCGCCGGAGGUAAACCAAACCCUUGAAUUGCAUGGCCUCUCUGAGUCUUCUGUACUGAAUAAGUCAAGACUUUCAACAACGGAUCUCUUGGUUCUG
rnacentral:misc_RNA from 1 species